AAUCAUCAUGUAAUAUAAGACUUGAUCAAUAAAUAAGGCGUUUAAAUAAAAAACCCAUAACUCUAAAAAAUAUUUAGUUGAAAAUAAUGAAAAUAAAUGUUAGCAGAUAAUUUACAUAUCGCAUAGGAAAUAGCGGUUGAGGGUCUAAUCGCAUUACUAUGCAAUUUUCGUUAUCAUACCCACAUUUUGUUAUUGAGUUAUAUUUCUUAUCAUGUGCAUAGAAAAUGUUGGAAUUUUUAAAACCAAUGACAAUGAUAAAACUGAAUAUAAUUUUGCACACGCACACUUUCUACAACACGUCAUAGGGUGGGGCACGCAACCUUAUAAAUUUCAAAAUCCACCUCAGGACGGUCUAUUCCAUAGUCUAUUCCUUACUGUUAGUGCUCGUUGUGGUUCAACUAGUUUUGCAAGAUGGAUUUAUCAAAAAUUAAUGCCUCAUCUGUCGUAGCGAGGAAACCCGUGAAGAAACUCAAAGAAUUACCGAUCGACAUUCCAGUACCCAUUACGGGAGCCAAAAUUGUGAAGACAAAGUUUGGGCAAGCUGUUCUGUUAGAUUUGGGGGAAGAGGUGGUGUUUCUACCGCCUAGAGUCACAGAUACCUACAGCCCCGUCAUUGAGGAGUUUUCGAGCGGGAAGUAUUCGAUAGUUUAUCACGGCCUGGUGGACUGCGGCCAACAGUACCAGCCCAUGACAUCAUUUAAAAUUAUCUAAGCGAAAAUACUGAGAGAAAGAGAGAUGAAUGUUCCAUCAUUGACCGACCUGUCUAUCAAAAAAAUCUGUGAAACAACAGUAUCAGCAUCAUAUUUCAUCGAGCAGUCCCCCUUGCCGUGGACAUUAACAAAAAUAAUAUUAAAAAAAUUUCCUUUAUAUAAAUGGGAAACGAUGAUAAGCAGUGCUAAAAAUGAUCCUAUUCCUUCAUAUAAAGGAAUAGAAUUUAUUGCUUGCUCUAAACACAUACCGUCACAUUUAAGAAAUGUCGUAUUAGGAAAGUCAGAUUGGGGGAGUAUAUUUGAAGAUGAACACUCCAGUUAUUGUGUAUGGGCUAAUGGAUAUUAUCUUAAGCAGCAUCGCCUAAACGUAUGUAAAUCAUGUUUUUUUGCAUUCAAAAAUGCUCAUGAGACCUUAAAUAAAUUUUUACUGGUGCGUUACGACCAUACUCACGAAGUUUAUGAUGCUGAUGAUAUCGUUGAAUGCGUAUAUCAGCAACCAUAUUAUUGGUGCAAUAGUUGCUUUACUCAAGUUUUAUUCGAUUUAAAAGAUUACGAGUCUUGCGUUAAUGCAUUACAUGAAAUGCCUAGAAAUAACAGGUUUGAUGAUUCUGAACCAGAAGUCUGAAGUAGGCAGUAAUAUUGAUUCUUUUUUAAGGAACAAACUGCUACUCAACACUCCAUUCGGUCAUAUAGCCAUAACGUCUAUAGUAUAGAACAAACAAAAAUUGCGCUAAGUCCUUAUGACGAUAAAAGAUAUUUAAUUCCAAAUAGUUUUAGAACCCUACCAUUGGGACAUUACAGUAUUUUAGAAUAGAUUUUUAUUGCAGAAGAACGUUGAAAUGUCUCACAGAUGUGUUACACCAGACCUAUGGACUCCCGCUAAUCUGCAACAAAUAGCAGCCAAUAAAAUUUAUUGGGAUGUAGUUGAUGCUAAUACAAAGACAUUUACGCUUCCAAGUGGAGAGCAACAUCCUCUCCCUCAAGAUGUGAUUGGUAUUGAACGAUGGUACAGCAAGCAAGGAUGUACCGCGAAUUUUAAGAUUCCCAAGCAAAUACGAUUCAGUUUAAACGUAAAUUGUAUAAGAGAAUUAAAACUACAAAUUGUGAAGAACUGUGAAAAAGUGAUGUCAUGCGGGUGUCGAAGAUGCGGGGCUCCCUAUGGAUUCCCCCCAAUUUACAAAAAAUAGCGAAUACAAUCCUAAGUAAAUUGUCUAAGAGAAUUAAAACUACAAAUUGCAAAUAUAUAAAAAUUGAUUUUUGAGACGAAUUAUGUUCAUAAGCUACUAUCUCUCUUUUGUACUAAACGCAUAACAAUAUCCACGUGCUAUCUCUCUCUUUCUUGUAUAUAUA
rnacentral:misc_RNA from 1 species